GUGUCAGCCGCCGCGGUAAGACGAAGGAUCCAAGCGUUGUCCGGAUUUACUGGGUUUAAAGGGAGCGUAGGCGGAUUAAUAAGUCAGUGGUGAAAGCCUUCAGCUUAACUGAAGAACUGCCAUUGAAACUGUUAGUCUCGAGUACGGCUGAGGUGACUGGAAUGUAACAUGUAGCGGUGAAAUGCUUAGAUAUGUUACAGAACACCAAUUGCGAAGGCAGGUCACUAAACCGUAACUGACGCUGAGGCUCGAAAGCGUGGGGAGCAAACAGGAUUAGAUACCCUGGUAGUCCACGCCCUAAACGUUGAAUACUCGGUCUUGGCGAUACACAGUCAGGGCCCAAGCGAAAGCGUUAAGUAUUCCACCUGGGAAGUACGUUCGCAAGAAUGAA
rnacentral:rRNA from 1 species